rnacentral:lncRNA from 1 species
CAUAUCAGCAUUUCACCAGAUAAAGUAUGGCUCUGACAGUGCUCUCUCUGAGGCAAACCAGAAGGUAGGCAGAGUUCGCCAGACAGAAGUGGGUUCGAAUCCCAGUUGUGCCCGCUUACCAGCUCUUAUCCUAGAGAAGUGACUUUACCCUAAAGCCCGGUUUCCUCCUCCUCCGAAAAAUGAGGAUAAUAAUAUUACUGACUUCUUAAGGUUGUUGAAAUGAUUAAAUUGAGGUAAUCUAUAUAAAGCUUUUAGCCCAGUGCCUGGGAGAUAAUCUCUUAGUAUUUACGAGCAAUUAUUUUCAUUGUUGAUAAUACACUGAGGUUAAUAAUUAGCAAAAUUAAGAAAGUUAAUAGCAAAUUAGAGUUUUCAGGGGGACUUUUUUCCAGAAGGAGCUUCAACAUCGCUUCCUUCUAGCAUGGAGGGUCUAUCAAAGUCUCUGAGCUCCUGAGCCAGGAAGCCCACUGGGUUUCUAUGAGGACGGGAGCACCUCUGCCUUAGGUAAAGGUCACCUCCUUGUUUUCCAAUCAAGUAGCAGGUAUCAACCAAUGGAUUGAGCGCCUGAGCAUAUCCCCCUGCAUCCAGCAAGUUCAUCGAAAGUGUUUCAGAAAGUCCUGGAUGCUGUGUGAUUGGAGAAAGGACACUUCCGGGCCGGUACACCACCACCAGCACAAGAUAAUUGAGAGCAGUUCACAAGCAACAUCAUCCAGAGAAAAGACAUCAGGUAUAUUUGGGUGAUGGAGUUAAUGGGGUUAUUUGGUCAUUCCUGUGGGGACUUGAAAUUUCUAGACUGUCAGAAGUGAAAGAUGUACUUUGCAAAGAUUGCCAAAAAGAGAAGUUCUAUCCCACGUGAUCUUUAGUGAUGCCACUUUGUCACUAUUCUUCAAGGGCUGGGGUCUGCUGGGCUGGCCAGGACCCUUGGUUUUGACCAACUACCAGGGGAGGAGGUGAUAUUGUGUAAGUUUUAGAGUAUGGGUUUCCAGAGACCACCAAGUGAGGAAGU